GGAGUUGUAGCCUAGUGGGUAGAGCGUCGGACGCACGACUUGAAGGUCGAGGGUUCGAUUCCCAAUUCCA
rfam:Macrostomum lignano uti_cns_0010878, whole genome shotgun sequence.